AAUAGAUACCCUGGUAGUCCAUGCCGUAAACGAUGAUUACUCGCUGUUAUGCCUUAAGGUGUAGCGGCCAAGCGAAAGCGUUAAGUAAUCCACCUGGGGAGUACGCCGGCAACGGUGAAACUCAAAGGAAUUGACGGGGGUCCGCACAAGCGGUGGAACAUGUGGUUUAAUUCGAUGAUACGCGAGGAACCUUACCUGGGCUAGAAUGUGAGGGAAUGGUUUGGAGACAGAUCAGUCAGCAAUGACCCGAAACAAGGUGCUGCAUGGCCGUCGUCAGCUCGUGCCGUGAGGUGUUGGGUUAAGUCCCGCAACGAGCGCAACCCCUAUGUUUAGUUGCCAGCACGUCAAGGUGGGGACUCUAGACAGACUGCCUGCGCAAGCAGAGAGGAAGGAGGGGACGACGUCAGGUCAUCAUGGCCCUUACGCCCAGGGCGACACACGUGCUACAAUGGCGCAUACAGCGGGUCGCUACCUAGCAAUAGGAUGCCAACCUCUAAAAGUGCGUCUCAGUUCGGAUUGGGGU
rnacentral:rRNA from 1 species